UUGAAGGGGACAAGUCGUCCAGGUUUUGGGCAUGGAGGAGAGGCAUAAGAUUCAAGUUUUUCAAAGGGAGCUCCCUCUCUGCUUGGAGCUUGUCACUCAACUGCCCAAGCCCAAGCUAUUGAGAGGUGCAAGCAGCAGAUUUCAGAUGCAACCGCAAAUUACCUGCAUGGACAAUCUAAGUGUUCUGAGCAGACUUCAAGUGAGGGGCAUGUUUUUUGAGGAAUUCAUUCCAUUAACACGGAUUUCAUAACAACUCCAGAUGCACCACUCGAAGAGGGUAAUGGCAGGAGGAGCAAGUUAAAGGCUAUAGUGAUGGAGAUGAAGAGAAAUGGGGUGCUUUUCAGCCUUUCCAAAGG